rnacentral:rRNA from 1 species
GACGAACGCUGGCGGCGUGCUUAACACAUGCAAGUCGAACGGAAAGGCCCUGCUUUUGUGGGGUGCUCGAGUGGCGAACGGGUGAGUAACACGUGAGUAACCUGCCCUUGACUUUGGGAUAACUUCAGGAAACUGGGGCUAAUACCGGAUAGGAGCUCCUGCUGCAUGGUGGGGGUUGGAAAGUUUCGGCGGUUGGGGAUGGACUCGCGGCUUAUCAGCUUGUUGGUGGGGUAGUGGCUUACCAAGGCUUUGACGGGUAGCCGGCCUGAGAGGGUGACCGGCCACAUUGGGACUGAGAUACGGCACAGACUCCUACGGGAGGCAGCAGUGGGGAAGAUUGCACAAUGGGCGGAAGCCUGAUGCAGCAACGCCGCGUGCGGGAUGACGGCCUUCGGGUUGUAAACCGCUUUCGCCUGUGACGAAGCGUGAGUGACGGUAAUGGGUAAAGAAGCACCGGCUAACUACGUG